rnacentral:rRNA from 1 species
UACGGGGGGGGCAAGCGUUGUCCGGAAUUAUUGGGCGUAAAGAGCUCGUAGGCGGUUUGUCGCGUCUGCUGUGAAAUCCCGAGGCUCAACCUCGGGUCUGCAGUGGGUACGGGCAGACUGGAGUGCGGUAGGGGAGAAUGGAAUUCCUGGUGUAGCGGUGGAAUGCGCAGAUAUCAGGAGGAACACCGAUGGCGAAGGCAGUUCUCUGGGCCGUAACUGACGCUGAGGAGCGAAAGCGUGGGGAGCGAACAGG